CCUACUAUAAUACACAUCGAACGUACCUGGCUGGUGUAAGCAUUAACGUAGUGACGUCACUUAGACGUCGGUUAUUUUACAGGAACGAACAGUGUCAAGUAUACCGUAACACCAUUCACUUGAAAUGGAUUUACUUACGGUAAGAACUUUUGAAGUAUGGUUUUAAAAGAAUCAACAAAAUUAUGUAUGCUCUUCAGUAUGAUGGGUCAUGAGAAACUAUGGAAGUUAUGCAAAGCAUUAAAGGAAUAAAAACCUGUGAGUUGCAGUAAUUGAGGUAAUUAAAGCUUGCAGUACUUGUCAUAACUGAGGAGAAAGUGUGGGAAAGUAGGGUAAUUCACCUUGCUGUCUAAGAUGGGUUUAUCAAACUGGAUAAGCAGACACUGCUUCAACAAUAAUAAUUCUGAUAUAAUUUCAAGAAAAAAAUAAAUAAUAAUGAUAAUUAUAAUGUGCUUAUCUUAAUUAUAUAAAUACACAUAUAGUAAUAUAAACGAAAUACAUAAAUACUACUAAUAAUAAUAAUAAUGAUGACUGUAUAUUUCUACCCUUUUAGUAAAUGUUAUAGUAAUAAUACUUUUAACAUAAGGCUCACAUUUGUGCGGAGAUGUAUAAGUAAUUGAACUGACCGCAGAACUUGACUGGGAGUGAGCAGAGGUGGUGGUGGUGGAGGUCAAACCUAGAAGUCUUCAGUCUAGUGUUCUACCAAUUCAGCUGUCUUCUGUCCUUUUUAAUAGGUUAUGAGGUAGUAGUGGUGAUCUCUAAUCUGUAAAACUUAUGAUUUUAGAUGCAUGCUGUUCAUAUGUUGUGAAGAUAUUGUAUUACUGAUUUGUUUGUAUUUUGGUACAGGGGAAUGAGACUAGAUUACCACAACCGUGUUACAAUAUUUUCAAGAGGUCUUUUCACACACUCACACACAGAGAAAGCUUUAAUUUUGUAGGGUUUCACUUCUUUCAACAGUAUUUUACACAAAAUUUUAUUCAUAGUACUGUUUAUAAUAAAGUGAAGUGGCCAAUAUGCAUUAAAUGUUUUGGUCAUGAACAAUAAUUCCAUCUAUUUUUUAGCAUAAGUACAUAACUCUUAAUAAUCUUUGCCAUUUCACAUAUUGAAACCCAAGAUGAGUACAUUUCUUAAAAAAUAUCUUUGGAAAUGUAUUCUCUCAUAUAUAAUUUUUUUAAAAAAAGCAUUGACAGAUUUCAAGCACUUUGUAAAAACAUAAAGAAUCAGAUAGUGACCCAACCAAAUCAGAGUAUAUAGGAAAGAUAUAGUUAUAUGAACUAUAGUUAUAUGAACUAUGGUAUUGGCUACCAUACUUGUAUUAAUAAAUGAGUCAUUGCUCUUGCUAUCUAUAUUUACAUUGUCAUGUUGCCUAGUAAAAAUAGCAGAAACAAAACACUUUGUAAGCAUGAUGAUCAACAACUUUAAACUGAUCAAUCAAACAGGUUAAAAAGUAAGAGCUACCAGGAGCUUACUGGGAUGAUAGUGAAACUACAAAAGUUAUAAGAAAUCACAGAGGACUUUCACUUUCAUUAGAUAAACCAUUGCUGGUCACUUUCUCCUGUGUCACAAUGAUGAAGAAGUCUGUAACUCACCAACUCUUAGCCACAGAUUCUACAUGUUUUUGUAAAUAUGAGAAAUUCAAUUUGAAGAUAUAUGUUUAUUACCUGUUGUGACAGCUAACAUCUUUUACAUACACUUGCUUUUGUAAUAAACUGCACAGUAAGACUUUCUAAUGUAUUUCCUUUGAUCUAUGAUAUCUUAAAUUACAAAGCUGAAUUGUAAGGUUGUCUGAUUCCUCAAUGCUUUCUGAAUCCAUUGACUGUGAAUGCCAUAGUAAAUGCUUAUUUUUGAUGUACAGAAUGAAGUUUUAUUUUUUGUUAUUGAAAUUAAUAAAUAUCGGAAAAAUGGA